GGCGGUCAGGAAANUCUGGAGUAAAAGGCUAUGGCUCAACCAUAGUGUGCUCUGGAAACUGUCUGACUUGAGUGCAGAAGGGGAGAGUGGAAUUCCAUGUGUAGCGGUGAAAUGCGUAGAUAUAUGGAGGAACACCAGUGGCGAAAGCGGCUCUCUGGUCUGUCACUGACGCUGAGGCUNGAAAGCGUGGGUAGCGAACAGGAUUAGAUACCCUGGUAGUNCACGCCGUAAACGAUGAGUGCUAGGUGUUAGGCCCUUUCCGGGGCUUAGUGCCGGAGCUAACGCAAUAAGCACUCCGCCUGGGGAGUACGACCGCAAGGUUGAAACUCAAAGGAAUUGACGGGGGCCCGCACAAGCGGUGGAGCAUGUGGUUUAAUUCGAAGCAACGCGAAGAACCUUACCAGGUCUUGACAUCCCGAUGCUAUUCUUAGAGAUAGGAAGUUACUUCGGUACAUCGGAGACAGGUGGUGCAUGGUUGUCGUCAGCUCGUGUCGUGAGAUGUUGGGUUAAGUCACGCAACGAGCGCAACCCUUAUUGUUAGUUGCCAUCAUUAAGUUGGGCACUCUAGCGAGACUGCCGGUAAUAAACCGGAGGAAGGUGGGGAUGACGUCAAAUCAUCAUGCCCCUUAUGACCUGGGCUACACACGUGCUACAAUGGUCGGUACAACGAGUUGCGAGCCGGUGACGGCAAGCUAAUCUCUGAAAGCCGAUCUCAGUUCGGAUUGGAGGCUGCAACUCGCCUCCAUGAAGUCGGAAUCGCUAGUAAUCGCGGAUCAGCACGCCGCGGUGAAUACGUUCCCGGGCCUUGUACACACCGCCCGUCACACCACGAGAGUUUGUAACACCCGAAGUCGGUGAGGUANCCUUUUAGGG
rnacentral:rRNA from 1 species